rnacentral:rRNA from 1 species
UGGGGGAAACCCUGAUCCAGCGACGCCGCGUGUGUGAAGAAGGCCUGCGGGUUGUAAAGCACUUUUAGUGGGGAUGAAAAGCUCAGGGCUAAUACCCCUGGGUCUUGACCUAACCCACAGAAAAAGCACCGGCUAACUCUGUGCCAGCAGCCGCGGUAAUACAGAGGGUGCAAGCGUUAAUCGGAAUUACUGGGCGUAAAGCGUGCGUAGACGGUCAUGUAAGUCGGGUGUGAAAGCCCCGGGCUCAACCUGGGAAUUGCAUUCGAGACUGCAUGGCUAGGGUGCGGAAGAGGGAAGCGGAGUUUCCGGUGUAGCGGUGAAAUGCGUAGAUAUCGGAAGGAACACCAGUGGCGAAAGCGGCUUCCUGGUCCAGCACCGACGUUCAGGCACGAAAGCGUGGGGAGCAAACAGGAUUAGAUACCCUGGUAGUCCACGCCAUAAACGAUGAGAACUAGACGU